rnacentral:rRNA from 1 species
UACGUAGGGUGCAAGCGUUGUCCGGAAUUAUUGGGCGUAAAGAGCUCGUAGGCGGUCUGUCGCGUCGGCUGUGAAAACUCGGGGCUCAACUCCGAGCUUGCAGUCGAUACGGGCAGGCUAGAGUUCGGCAGGGGAGACUGGAAUUCCUGGUGUAGCGGUGAAAUGCGCAGAUAUCAGGAGGAACACCAAUUGCGAAGGCAGCUCGCUGGGACGUGACUGACGCUGAGACGCGAAAGCGUGGGGAGCAAACAGG